AUGUCUACCGCCAGCUCUCCGGAAAGCAACUCCUCUACUGGCUCCUCUCAGCAGCGGCCAUCUGUCAUCCGCUCUGCCCCUACUUUGGAUCUCAGUCUUCUUGGGAACACAGCGACUGCUAUUUUGACAGGAGCGGGCUACCCUGGUAAGGAAGGAUCAGUCCAGGCACUGAUGAGGCUGGAUACACAAAGUCUACUAAGGGAGGCGGGGGAACAAGGGGCACAUUUGGCUUGUACCACCAGCACAACAAUAGCGGCCAGCCCCACUGGUGGCCUCUUCAACACGCCUCCCCCGACUCCUCCAGAGCUGUUCCCCACCCAGGACUUCAGUGAUUUGAGGCUGCUGGUGGAUGCUGCUCUACAGAGGGCUGCAGAACAGGAGAGCCAGAACAAACCCACAGAGACUUUAAAGACCGACUUGGUGGACACACAUUGCAAUGCUUAUAGCAGUGACAUGGGUCCAACCCCACCUCCAGAGGACAGCCAACAGGUUAUGGAUCCUUCCAGGGUGCAGAGUCUGAUGGAGAAGGCUAUGGCUGUUCCAUCUGUAACUUCAGUAAAGGCCCCACUGCCCAUGUCCUCAGCAGCUUCUGCUCCAGCCACAGCUCCGGUUUUGCUCCCAGCUCAGAGGAUAUCUCCUCUUCCGAUGAGUAAAGUCAUCUGGAGUCCCUUGGAACAAGACACGGCUAGAGUGUCCAGCCCGAACCAACCUCAGCUCCACUCAACCCAUCUGCCAACUUUAGUGCCAGUGUCUGCCUUAGUCUUAGGACAGCCAAAUCCUCAGAAACCAGCUACUACUCAACCUCCAAGUUCAGUUCCACCUCUACUGCCCAUUAUGUCUCCUUCAAGCGAAUCAGUGCCAACUACAAGUCCAGUCUCAGUGCUAUCGUCAGUCCCUCUGCCAGCAACAAGCUCGACUGCUGCCUCUCCUGCAAGCCAGGAUUCAUCCCCAACUGUAGCGCUCGUUCCAGCUGCUGCUUCUCCAACCAUCACCUCCUACUCAGCCUCCAGAGGAGUCCCGCUUCACCUGCCAUUCCACAAGCCUCCAACUAUGCCAGUAACGGUUCCAUGCCCAUUGCCUGCUUCAACACCAGUGUCAUCUGCAGCCCAAGUUCCAACCUCAUUGUCUACAUCUGCCCCCCCAUCUCCAUCAGUGAUCACACCUCUGGUGGGCCUCACUCCCCAUCUCACUCCUCCUCUGCAGCCCUCUUCCACCAGUGGCAGCAGUAAUAUUAAUAGUUCACAG
ensembl:lncRNA